GGUGCGAAAAGCGUGGGGAAGCAAAACAGGAUUUAGAUUACCUUGGGUAGUCCACGCUGUAAAAGAUGUCGAUUUUGGAGGGUUGUGCCCUUGAGGCGUGGCUUCCGGAGCAAACGCGUUAAAUCGACCGCCUGGGGAGUACGGCCGCAAGGUUAAAACUCAAAUGAAUUGACGGGGGCCCGCACAAGCGGUGGAGCAUGUGGUUUAAUUCGAUGCAACGCGAAGAACCUUACCUACUCUUGACAUCCAGAGAAUUUAGCAGAGAUGCUUUAGUGCCUUCGGGAACUCUGAGACAGGUGCUGCAUGGCUGUCGUCAGCUCGUGUUGUGAAAUGUUGGGUUAAGUCCCGCAACGAGCGCAACCCUUAUCCUUUGUUGCCAGCGAUUCGGUCGGGAACUCAAAGGAGACUGCCGGUGAUAAACCGGAGGAAGGUGGGGAUGACGUCAAGUCAUCAUGGCCCUUACGAGUAGGGCUACACACGUGCUACAAUGGCGUAUACAAAGAGAAGCGACCUCGCGAGAGCAAGCGGAACUCAUAAAGUACGUCGUAGUCCGGAUUGGAGUCUGCAACUCGACUCCAUGAAGUCGGAAUCGCUAGUAAUCGUAGAUCAGAAUGCUACGGUGAAUACGUUCCCGGGCCUUGUACACACCGCCCGUCACACCAUGGGAGUGGGUUGCAACAAGAAAGUAGGUAGCUUUAACCUUUCCGGGGAGGGGGCCGGG
rnacentral:rRNA from 1 species